rfam:Podiceps cristatus contig37803, whole genome shotgun sequence.
UACAUGGUUCUUCUAAGAACCACACACACUUUUUUUCUAACAUCUU